GGAAAGGGUGUAGCUCAGUGAUAGAGCAUGUGAUCUGCAUGUAGAAGGUUGCAGGUUCAAUUCCUGGUAUCUCCA